GAUGAACGCUGGCGGCGUGCCUAAUACAUGCAAGUCGAGCGAACGGACGAGAAGCUUGCUUCUCUGAUGUUAGCGGCGGACGGGUGAGUAACACGUGGAUAACCUACCUAUAAGACUGGGAUAACUUCGGGAAACCGGAGCUAAUACCGGAUAAUAUGUUGAACCGCAUGGUUCAAAAGUGAAAGCCGGUCUUGCUGUCACUUAUAGAUGGAUCCGCGCUGCAUUAGCUAGUUGGUAAGGUAACGGCUUACCAAGGCAACGAUGCAUAGCCGACCUGAGAGGGUGAUCGGCCACACUGGAACUGAGACACGGUCCAGACUCCUACGGGAGGCAGCAGUAGGGAAUCUUCCGCAAUGGGCGAAAGCCUGACGGAGCAACGCCGCGUGAGUGAAGAAGGUCUUCGGAUCGUAAAACUCUGUUAUUAGGGAAGAACAGAUGUGUAAGUAACUGUGCACAUCUUGACGGUACCUAAUCAGAAAGCCACGGCUAACUACGUG
rnacentral:rRNA from 1 species